GUGGGGAAUUUUGGACAAUGGGCGCAAGCCUGAUCCAGCAAUGCCGCGUGUGUGAAGAAGGCCUUCGGGUUGUAAAGCACUUUUGGCAGGAAAGAAAUAGCGCGUGCUAAUACCAUGCGCGAAUGACGGUACCUGCAGAAUAAGCACCGGCUAACUACGUGCCAGCAGCCGCGGUAAUACGUAGGGUGCAAGCGUUAAUCGGAAUUACUGGGCGUAAAGCGUGCGCAGGCUGCUUUGUAAGACGGAUGUGAAAGCCCCGGGCUCAACCUGGGAAGUGCAUUCGUGACUGCAAGGCUAGAGUGUGUCAGAGGGAGGUGGAAUGCCGCGUGUAGCAGUGAAAUGCGUAGAGAUGCGGAGGAACACCGAUGGCGAAGGCAGCCUCCUGGGAUAACACUGACGCUCAGGCACGAAAGCGUGGGGAGCAAACAGGAUUAGAAACCCGGGUAGUCC
rnacentral:rRNA from 1 species